rnacentral:rRNA from 1 species
GACGAACGCUGGCGGCGUGCUUAACACAUGCAAGUCGAACGGAAAGGCCCUGCUUUUGUGGGGUGCUCGAGUGGCGAACGGGUGAGUAACACGUGAGUAACCUGCCCUUGACUUUGGGAUAACUUCAGGAAACUGGGGCUAAUACCGGAUAGGAGCUCCUGCUGCAUGGUGGGGGUUGGAAAGUUUCGGCGGUUGGGGAUGGACUCGCGGCUUAUCAGCUUGUUGGUGGGGUAGUGGCUUACCAAGGCUUUGACGGGUAGCCGGCCUGAGAGGGUGACCGGCCUCAUUGGGACUGAGAUACGGCCCAGACUCCUACGGGAGGCAGCAGUGGGGAAUAUUGCACAAUGGGCGGAAGCCUGAUGCAGCAACGCCGCGUGCGGGAUGACGGCCUUCGGGUUGUAAACCGCUUUCGCCUGUGACGAAGCGUGAGUGACGGUAAUGGGUAAAGAAGCUCCGGCUAACUACGUG